rnacentral:ncRNA from 1 species
AUUUAAAAAUAUUUAAUGGUAUUUUAAUUUACUUAAAAGUAAGUGAUUUACUUACUCUAAUUAAGGUUUUAAAUUUUAAAACAUGUGAGUUUUUGCGGGGUAUAGAUUAAUAUUUAAUAUAUAAUUUUAUGAAUUUUCAGUUUUUAAUAUUAUUUUUUUAAUUAAUUAAAUUAUAGUAAUUUUAUUUAAUGUUAGCUAAUUUAGUGCCAGCAGUUGCGGUUAUUCUAGUAACAUAAUUUUUAAUUUUUUCAGUUGGGUAUUAAUUUUAUAAUUUUUAAUUAUUUUUUAAUUUAUUAAGUGAAAUUUUAAAUUAAUUAUUUUUAAAGGUUUUUUAAAUAUUAAAUUUUAUUUAUAAACUAGGAUUAGAUACCCUAUUAUAAAAAUUUAAAUUUUAUACUUUAAUAUUAACAGUUAUAAUCUCUAAAAUAAGUAAAUUUGGCGGUAAUUAUAAAUUGUUUAGAGGAACCUGUUGUAUAAUUGAUGAACCACGAUUUUUUAUACUUUCCUUAUACUUAUAUACCUCUAUCAUUGAAUGUUUUAUUAGAAUAAUUUUCUUAAAUUAAUUUUUACAUAAUGUUAGGUCAAGGUUUAGUUAUAGGUGAGAAAUAAAUGGGUUACAAUAAUUUUAUUUUUGAAUUAGGAAUGUUUAUAUUUUUUAUGAAAUUGGAUUUAAUUGUAAUUUUAACUUUAUAGUUAAUUUGAAAUUAUUUUGGUUAUGCACAUAUCGCCCGUCAUUCUCGAAUAUCGAGACAAGUCGUAACAAAGUAGGAUAUCCGGAAGGAUACCCUGGUUAGAUU